AGUGGCGGACGGGUGAGUAACACGUGAGAAUUUGCCUUUAGGAGGGGGAUAACAACUGGAAACGGUUGCUAAUACCCCAUAUGCUUUCGAGUGAAAUGGAUUUUUCCGCCUAGAGAGAAGCUUGCGGCUGAUUAGCUUGUUGGUAAGGUAAUGGCUUACCAAGGCGACGAUCAGUAUCUGGUUUGAGAGGACGAUCAGACACACUGGAACUGAGACACGGUCCAGACUCCUACGGGAGGCAGCAGUGGGGAAUUUUCCGCAAUGGGCGAAAGCCUGACGGAGCAAUCUCGCGUGAGGGAUGACAGCCUAUGGGUUGUAAACCUCUUUUUUCAGGGAGGAAACCAAUGACGUGUACCUGAAGAAUAAGCAUCGGCUAACUCCGUGCCAGCAGCCGCGGUAAGACGGAGGAUGCAAGUGUUAUCCGGAAUCACUGGGCGUAAAGCGUCUGUAGGUGGUUUAAUAAGUCAACUGUUAAAUCUUGAAGCUCAACUUCAAAAUCGCAGUCGAAACUAUUAGACUAGAGUAUAGUAGGGGUAAAGGGAAUUUCCAGUGGAGCGGUGAAAUGCGUAGAGAUUGGAAAGAACACCGAUGGCGAAGGCACUUUACUGGGCUAUUACUGACACUCAGAGACGAAAGCUAGGGUAGCAAAUGGGAUUAGAUACCCCAGUAGUCCUAGCCGUAAACAAUGGAUACUAGAUGU
rnacentral:rRNA from 1 species